CUUCGAACCCGAUCGAUGCCCGGGCCUGGACGGCCUGCGGUCAAUGGGGUAGCAAGAGUCAUUCUUAUCGAGGGACUUGAUUGGAGCAACAGGAGGCCGAGACCCCCCCCACGUCCGCUUAAUUUUCCACAUCCGGGAGCACRAGCAGUUGUCCUGCGGACCGAGACAGCCACAACAAGAGUCAGUGGAUAUGUCCGGGACACGGGGACUGCUUUCGAGGUCCGCAUUGCGGCCGCCAAGCCACAAGGAGGACAGGUGCGG
rnacentral:misc_RNA from 1 species